rnacentral:misc_RNA from 1 species
GAUGAAGAACGUAGCGAAAUGCGAUACUUGGUGUGAAUUGUAGAAUCCAGUGAACCAUCGAGUCUUUGAACGCAAGUUGCGCCCGAAGCCAUUAGGCCGAGGGCACGCCUGCCUGGGCGUCACACGUCGUUGCCCCCCCAUCUACUCCUUCGGGAUUGCGGGGGGCGGAUGAUGGCCUCUCGUGCGCCUCGUCGCGCGGUUGGCCUAAAUGCCAAGUCCUCGGCGACGCACGCCACGACAAUCGGUGGUUGCGAAACCUCGGUUGCCUGUCGUGUGCGGUCGUCGCGCAUCGAGGGCUCGAAAAAAUUGCCGGGCUUCGGCUCGACUUUCAACGCGACCCCAGGUCAGGCGGGGUUACCCGCUGAAUUUAAGCAUAUCAAUAAGCGGAGGA